rnacentral:rRNA from 1 species
UACGGAGGGUGCAAGCGUUAUCCGGAUUCACUGGGUUUAAAGGGUGCGUAGGUGGGUUGGUAAGUCAGUGGUGAAAUCUCCGGGCUUAACUCGGAAACUGCCGCUGAUACUAUCAAUCUUGAAUAUCGCGUAGGUAAGCGGAAUAUGUCAUGUAGCGGUGAAAUGCUUAGAUAUGACAUAGAACACCAAUUGCGAAGGCAGCUUACUUCACGAUCAUUGACACUGAGGCACGAAAGCGUGGGGAGCAAACAGG